rnacentral:rRNA from 1 species
UAAGACGUAGGGCGCGAGCGUUGUCCGGAAUUAUUGGGCGUAAAGAGCUCGUAGGCGGCUUGUUGCGUCGUCCGUGAAAUCCUGGGGCUCAACUCCAGGCUUGCGGAUGAUACGGGCAGGCUAGAGUUCGGUAGGGGAGACUGGAAUUCCUGGUGUAGCGGUGAAAUGCGCAGAUAUCAGGAGGAACACCGGUGGCAAAGGCGGGUCUCUGGGCCGAUACUGACGCUGAGGAGCGAAAGCGUGGGGAGCGAACGGG